CCCAUCGGUGUUUCUGUUUGUCUCAGGGCAGCAUUUCAGUCUUUCUCCCCCAACUCCUCGCAGCCAUUCAGGACUCCAUCGAUGAGAUCCCUCAAGUUCAGGAGUUCUAAGCUGCCAUAGGGUUAGAGCCCAUCAGCUUAGUGAGCCUGAAUGGCUGAAGGUUCCUCCAGCAGAGUCCGGAUGAAUCUGCUCCUCCCAGGCUGCAAUUCAGUUAAAUUCUAUUCAAUAAAUUUUCUGCCCCCAAGAAGUGGCGGCUACCGGAAGAGAAGCUCUGCGUAUUUGCAAGUAACCCUGUUAGCAGUGCAAGCUGGGUGUGCUGGAUGAGUGUUCCAGGUGGUAUUUGAGGAACACCUUCUUUUUGCAAGUUCACAGAAUAACAGAGGGCCAUUUCACCAUAACAAGAGCAUGCAAUGCAUGAUGUAACCACCAGGUGGCAUCGCACUAAAGCCACAGCCCUAGUGCCUUCAUCAGUAUCCAGGAGAAGCGAAUCAGGGGGCAUUGAUCACCAUUGUCCCACAGAGGCCCCUCAUUUACUCUACUUCCUCCGAGGAAGCAUGAAGACAAGGUCCAACUCAAGACCUUUAAGCAAUUUGGGUGCAGGAGAAUGAGGAGACGUGUUCAGCAUGGCAAGUUGCACCUGGGUUUCCAAGGAGGCAUGUGGGGUCUCACUCCCCAACCCGCUGCCGUACCAGCCUUUGGUGCCGCUUACAUUUGACAGCAAAUGGAUAGCUGUGUUUUUCUUCUUGGUUUGCAGCCAUUUUCCUGAGAAACCCACCCCAAAUCCUGUUUAACCUCCGAGAGAGCAGAGUGGUUCUGGGGAAGACCUCUUCAGUGUACAAUAAAUCAUGAUCUAUCAUUGUGAUCUAAGAGAUGUCCAACGAGAGCAUCUCUGGAGAGGUUCUCUGCUAAGUCAGCACUAUGGCUUAGAAGGGACAAACAAAGCCCACCAGUGUGGAGAAGAUAAAGCAUCCCACCUUUCCCCCACAGGAGAACUGUCCAGCAUCUUGUUUAAUUGCUCCAAAACUCUGCUCUGACCUCAUAUUAUUCUAGUGCUUCCGUCUGUCUCUCUGAGAGGAGGGAGGUCACAGAUGUGAAACACUAAACAAAACCUGGGAAAAGUUGCCAUGAAUAAUGUUGUUUCACCAACGCUCCUGGUAAGCCUUCUGAGACUAUAAGGAGGCAGGUCUUUGGCCACUUUCAUCACCAGCGGAUUUUUCCUGGCGCCUUGCUAAAUCCUGAUUAGUAACUUCCCUUCUUGAUCCUUCAAUCCUAG